GCUGAAGGCAGAAGCUCAACUGCUGAGUCACUCAGGUGUCCCUGGUGAUUCAGUUUCUUUACUGAGAGAGACUGUGCACUUGAUUCGAGGUGGGGAAGUUGCAGAGGGAGAGAAUCUAAGCCAGUGCUAAGCAUGGAGCCCAACACAGAACUUGAUCUCACAACCCUGAGAUCGUGACCUGAGCUGAAAUAAGAGUCAGAUGCUUAACCAACUGAGUCACCCAGGCACACUUCAGUCGUCUUAAAUUUAUUAAGACUUAUUUUGUGGCCUAACAUGUGACCUAUCCUGGAGAUUGUUCCAUAUGUGCUGGAGAAAAAUGUGUAUUCUUCUGCUUUUGGAUGGAAUGUUCUGUAAAUAUCUGUUAAGUCCAUCUGGCUUAACAUGUUAAGUCUAAUGUUUCUUUAUUGAUUUUCUGUCUGGAUGAUCUAUCCAAUGAUGACAAUGAAGUAUUACUACUAUUAUUAUAUUGCUGUCUACUUCUCCCUUUAGGUCUAUUAAUGUUUGCUUUGUAUAUUUAGUUGCUUCUAGGUUGAGUAUAUGUGAAUUUACAAAUGUUAUAUUAUCUUAUUGAAUUGACCUCUUUAUCAUUAUAUAAUGAACUUCUUUGUCUCUUGUUA